CCGUUCCGCACGCGCACGUGCUGCAACUUUAACGGUUGCGUUGCAACUUUUUCCAGCGCCGGGCUUGGGGUCCAGCAAGAGCGCUCAGAUAAAUGUUUCCUAGCUCGCUCUGCUCUGCCGCCAACUUUGAAACGUUCACCAAGUCACUGCAAACAACGAAAGCAGCUCAGUACUCGGAAUCCUGAGUUCCGUGCAGCCACACCUUGAGGAGCCGUUUCGUGUUUCGCGUGCAACCUAAUUCAGAACCAUCGAUUCUACCGUCCAGAUUCCUACUUGGUCUGGUCAAUGUUGAGUGCCCUGACCGUAUCUAAUGAGCCUCUACAUGCGAGCCUGGGGCGUCUGAGUCCACACUUCAAAAAUGUCAAGGUGGUAGGCUACCGGGGAAGACUGAAGAAAACAUCCUGGAUUCAAGGGAAGUAAAGAGACAGGACAAUAAAUGCCAGGUGGGAUCCUCUGCUGGAUAUAGGACCAGAAAAGGGAAGCAGUGGAAAACCAGAGGAGUCCUGUGAAUCCAGUCUGGAAAUCCAUAGUACUGGCAUUACAGGGUGUGCAACAGAAGAUGAGAAAUUUGCUGUCAACCCUUGUAACUACCUGUGCCACACAGAAGCAAUUAAUACGGAAAGGCAAGGAGGAAGGUGCCACUGACUAAGCCCCUGCUUUACACUGAGAAUGUGCUGACUGAAUCGGUAUAGACUCCUUUCUGCAGACAAGAGAUUCACGCUCCAGGACUGAUCUGACUUGUCUGAGCUCAGGCGGUAGGAGGGGGCACUCGGAUGCCAGUGGGCUUCAUUCCAAGAUCCAGGCUCUAUUAUACCUCAUGGCCUCCCAAAUCAAAAUAAAAUUUGCUUACAGAGCCUGCGACAACUGAGAGGUGUCCAGUGGAGUGGAGGGUGGAAAGCUGGUAUCCCCUAGAAGGAAGGACUGCUAGAGAGACCCAGGAGAACUCUUAAUAUAGGACAACAGAGAGGUUGUCAUGCACUCCGCUUCCAGAAGAACUGGAAGUGGAGUGUUUCGAGGAGUCUCCCUAGUAGGGUCAGCAUGCGCCAAGGAGAAAGACCAGGAGUGGGAGCUAAGAGCAGGGGAGAGGAGAAUCAUACCAAGCUGACUAAGGAAGCCUCUUUGAGCAUAUUUAUCUCAAAGUGAAGUACUGGGGACCCUUCUAAAAUUCUGUCAUUACACUAGGUGCUGCGGACUGGUCUAGGACACAGAAGUGGGGACUGCAUGCCUUUUGAAAAUGUUUUUUGACCACUACAAGAGGCUCCCAUGUGAAUAAAUGAGUCCUGCUCAUUUAAUUUCUUCCAGCAACUGUCAUAUUAUCAGUGAGACAGAGAAACAGAGACAGAGACAUGGAUGCAGAGAGAGAGAAAGUAAAAGGAAAAAAAAAAAAAAAAAAGAUCAUUUGAAGGAAGAAUACUUCUCACAGAUGGAUACUGCACCCUUCCAGAACUCAACUGUCCAGUGAAUACAUGUUUCUGGGGGUACACAGCCAAGGACCAGAAAGAAGCUAGAUCUCACAGCCUAUUUAGUCUUACAUACAAUUCUAACAAGCUUGGAAAUCCAUUUUAAAAGUACCCACAGCAAAGAGGAAACAGCAAAUAAUCACCUACAGAGGGGCUGACAGAGCUUUCUUGUCUUAUGGCAGUAAGUCUAUUAAACAGAAAUGGGGACAUAAAAAUGAUAAAGCCAAACCAUAAGAACACAAUAAACAUGAGGAAUCUUCAGUAUAGGGCAAACUGCCUCCCACUAUGCCUUGGGGCUAUCACCGUACUAUGCAUAAUACAACAAUAUAUGUUCACUGAUGUCCUCAAGUUGGCCAGAAAUUAUUAAAUUAUAUUCACUAGAGGAAGAAGCCAAGAAGUACAUAAUUUAUGUUGGAAAGAUUUCUAGCAUGACAGUGUGCAUGACAGUGGUAAUCUCCAUGAUCCCUACAGCUUUUAUAGUAUUUGUCUAUUCAUUCCUUCAAUUGACAAAUUAUUGAUUGAGCAGAUUGGAGGGACUGCUGUGACAGGGUUCCUGCUCUCAUGGAAUUCACAAUCUUGUUUGUACCUAAGAUGCUCAAAACCCACAUUUCUACCCAGAUGGCUUGCACAAGUGUCUGGACUUUUGCAGUCAGUGCUAUGUACUGAGUUUUCAAGAAGUUUUAACUUAUUUUUUGGAUUUAAGCAAUAGAAAUUUGCCCAAGUCUUUGAUCAAACAGGAAUCAAAGAGUAGUCAAUACCUGAAGAACCAGUACCCAUGACCAAGAUUUUUGUGCAGGCAAAGCUGCAUGCCUAACAAUACAAGAGGCCAGCAAAACUACAAUUCCUGAGUUUGCCAGUUCUUCCUCCUUAUAGAGGAAAUUAAUUCCAUACACACACACACAUUAUUAUAUUUAGGCUAUGACAUCCUAUACCUGAAUCACACUACAAUUAAUGUAUUUAAGAAUGUGACAUGUAUAUUUUAGGUAGUGAUUCCUUUUUUUUUUUUUUAAAGGAAAAGUCUUAAGUAUCUUGAUAUUAUUUUGAAAAAUUUAGAGGGUCACAAAAAUCUUAACUUAAUCAGAUAGCCUAGAUAGAGUAAAAUGACUUUUCAUUUUCUUAUUGUUUUAGGAACCAACCCUCGAGGUUCUUUCCCCUCUUGUGGGCAAACCUUAAAAACUAGAAAUUUUUGUUUGUUUAAAGAUUUUAUAUAUUUAUUUGAGAGACAGAGGGAGAGGAAGAGGGAGACAAAGUCCCAAGCCGACUACAUGCUUAGUGGGGAGACGGACACAGUUUUCAAUCUCAUGACCUUGAGAUGAUGACCUGCACCAAAACCAAGAGUUGGAUGCCUAACCGACUAUACCACCCAGGCACACAGCGAGAGAGAGAGAGAGAGAGAGAGAGAGAGAGGCAGAGACACAGGCAGAGGG